AGAGUUUGAUCCUGGCUCAGGAUGAACGCUAGCUACAGGCUUAACACAUGCAAGUCGAGGGGCAGCAUCAUCAAAGCUUGCUUUGAUGGAUGGCGACCGGCGCACGGGUGAGUAACACGUAUCCAACCUGCCGACAACACUGGGAUAGCCUUUCGAAAGAAAGAUUAAUACCGGAUGGCAUAGUUUUCCCGCAUGGGAUAAUUAUUAAAGAAUUUCGGUUGUCGAUGGGGAUGCGUUCCAUUAGGCAGUUGGCGGGGUAACGGCCCACCAAACCAACGAUGGAUAGGGGUUCUGAGAGGAAGGUCCCCCACAUUGGAACUGAGACACGGUCCAAACUCCUACGGGAGGCAGCAGUGAGGAAUAUUGGUCAAUGGACGAGAGUCUGAACCAGCCAAGUAGCGUGAAGGAUGACUGCCCUAUGGGUUGUAAACUUCUUUUAUACGGGAAUAAAGUGAGGCACGCGUGCCUUUUUGUAUGUACCGUAUGAAUAAGGAUCGGCUAACUCCGUGCCAGCAGCCGCGGUAAUACGGAGGAUCCGAGCGUUAUCCGGAUUUAUUGGGUUUAAAGGGAGCGUAGGCGGGUUGUUAAGUCAGUUGUGAAAGUUUGCGGCUCAACCGUAAAAUUGCAGUUGAUACUGGCGACCUUGAGUGCAACAGAGGUAGGCGGAAUUCGUGGUGUAGCGGUGAAAUGCUUAGAUAUCACGAAGAACUCCGAUUGCGAAGGCAGCUUACUGGACUGUAACUGACGCUGAUGCUCGAAAGUGUGGGUAUCAAACAGGAUUAGAUACCCUGGUAGUCCACACAGUAAACGAUGAAUACUCGCUGUUGGCGAUAUACAGUCAGCGGCCAAGCGAAAGCAUUAAGUAUUCCACCUGGGGAGUACGCCGGCAACGGUGAAACUCAAAGGAAUUGAC
rnacentral:rRNA from 1 species